AUAGUUAACCUCCGUUAACGGGGUCUCAGAACAAGUCCUCUCUCUCUAUAAGAAGGAACCCAUACUUGCAUCAAAGGGAAGAAAGAUGUCUCCGGGACACAUUCCAUCGUUAAGGAUUAACAGCAACAACAACAGCAUCACUAGUUUCAGCUUUCUGAUGGGUGUAUUCCUAGUUCUUUUGAACCUCAAUUUCCAACCCCUGCGUAAUAUUGAAUCUCCGUUUGAGACCCAAGGUGUCGAUAUUUAUCAUGUCGAUAUUUAUCAUCGCCACACUUGUUUUCGCUGCAACUUGGCAAAUCGAACAUCAUCUUCAAACCAGCAACAAUAACUCAUCGAUUCACCGCCUCAUAGUUACCAAAAUCAGUCUCUUUAGUGGAAGCCUCGCCGCCGUUGUACUAGUAUUGCUUAUCUUCCCAGCAAUUGGGUGGUUCCUUCUUCUUGUUUGGACCCUCAUCCUUAUGAAGCAACUAUACGAGGCAUGCCAAAUGCUCCGCCGGCUAUAUCAUUCAAUUUCCUUGGUUUCCUACGUGUUCAAUGAAGUAUGUGGCCGACGUGCUCAUCUAAGCCGAGGAAGAAAUGGACUGAUAGCUUAAGUAAUUAUGCCUUAUUUGUUUGGACUAGUCAAUAUUAUCGGCUACCUAUGUGUACUAUGGAGUAUUUGGUCAUUACAGUUUGAGUUAUGGGUUCGUUCACGGUUACGCUUUAAGUAAUUAGAAAUAUAUGAUAACAUUUGAGUGUUUAGAAAUAA